GAGUUUGAUCUUGGCUCAGAUUGAACGCUGGCGGCAGGCCUAACACAUGCAAGUCGAGCGGUAGAGAGAAGCUUGCUUCUCUUGAGAGCGGCGGACGGGUGAGUAAUGCCUAGGAAUCUGCCUGGUAGUGGGGGAUAACGCUCGGAAACGGACGCUAAUACCGCAUACGUCCUACGGGAGAAAGCAGGGGACCUUCGGGCCUUGCGCUAUCAGAUGAGCCUAGGUCGGAUUAGCUAGUUGGUGAGGUAAUGGCUCACCAAGGCGACGAUCCGUAACUGGUCUGAGAGGAUGAUCAGUCACACUGGAACUGAGACACGGUCCAGACUCCUACGGGAGGCAGCAGUGGGGAAUAUUGGACAAUGGGCGAAAGCCUGAUCCAGCCAUGCCGCGUGUGUGAAGAAGGUCUUCGGAUUGUAAAGCACUUUAAGUUGGGAGGAAGGGCAGUAAAUUAAGUACUUUGCUGUUUUGACGUUACCGACAGAAUAAGCACCGGCUAACUCUGUGCCAGCA
rnacentral:rRNA from 1 species